rnacentral:rRNA from 1 species
AAAGAUUAAGCCAUGCAUGUCUAAGUAUAAACGAUCUAAUCGUGAAACCGCGAAUGGCUCAUUAUAACAGCUAAAAUCUACUUGAUCUUGACACAAUCCUACUUGGAUAACUGUGGUAAUUCUAGAGCUAAUACAUGCAUUAAAGCUCUGACCUCACGGGAAGAGUGCACUUAUUAGAACAAAACCAAGCGGCUUCGGCUGUUUCUGGUUGACUCAUAGUAACUGAGCUGAUCGCACGGUCUUGCACCGGCGACGUGUCUUUCGAGUAUCUGCCGUAUCAACUUUCGAUGGUAGUGUAUCUGUCUACCAUGGUGAUCACACGUAACGGAGAAUAAGGGUUCGGCUCCGGAGAGUUCGCCUGAGAAAUCGCGAACACAUCUAAGGAAGGCAGCAGGCGCGAAAAUUACCCACUCUCAGCACGAGGAGGUAGUGACGAAAAAUAACGAGACCGUUCUCUUAUGAGGCCGGUCAUCGGAAUGGGUUCAAUUUAAACCCUUUAACGAGUAUCUAUGAGAGGGCAAGUCUGGUGCCAGCAGCCGCGGUAAUUCCAGCUCUCAAAGUGCAUAGAAUUAUUGCCGCGGUUAAAAAGCUCGUAGUUGGAUCUGUGCCAUAGGACGUGGUCCACCUUCUGGGUGCGUACUAUGUUCCUAGGCUUUUUGCUGGUUUUCCCGUCGUAGCCUUAACUGGUUGCGGCGGGUGGCUGGCGAGUUUACUUUGAGAAAAUCAGAGAGCUCAACACAGGCGUAUCGCUUGAAUGAUUGUGCAUGGAAUAAUAGAAAAGGAUUUCGGUCCUCUUUUAUUGGUUUUGUGGACUGAGAUAAUGGUUAACAGGGACCAACGGGGGCAUUCGUAUCGCUGCGUGAGAGGUGAAAUUCUUGGACCGUAGCGAGACGCCCUACUGCGAAAGCAUUUGCCAAGAAUG